GUGGCUCUCAAACCAAAUGCUUUAGCAGCAAUAAUGACAUUUGGAAUUCCAGCCCACUUCAUUGAUGGUUCGAUGAUCAGCUCCUUCUCAUCAGUGAUAUAUACUUUCAUUCCUUGAAAAGUUGGCGGCAUGGAACCCAAGGUAAGUUCUUCAAAUUCAACCGAGUCAAUUUUAUAUUUUGGAAUCUGCUCACCAAUAAUGGGUUUUGCUAUGGUCCUUGCUGUCUUGCAAAUUGCCGUAUCCAAGCAAGGCCACAUGGUUUCAAUAAAUUUGUUAAGCCAGUCAACACGAUCAUAAUCCGGAUUUUUCACCCAAAGGGGUAUUUCUGGAAGCAAUCGUUGCAAUGUUUUCGAGUCUUGUUCAACCAAAGGACAAAUUACAGGAUCCUUGACAUCAGCUGGCUCAAAGUAGAUGAACACGUAGUACCCGAUCACAAUCCCAACUGAAGUUCCUACUCCAAACCCACAAAAGCCCAAUAUACUACUCAAAAUACCCAUCUGCAACCUCCUUCAGGAACCCCACUAAAAUCACCCUAUAAACACACCAACUCACUCCUUUUUGCACACUUAACACCCCCCCCCCCCCCCU
rnacentral:misc_RNA from 1 species